rnacentral:tRNA from 1 species
GCAGUGGUAGUUCAGUAGCAGAGUUCUCGCCUUCCACGUGGGAGACCUGGGUUCGAUUCCUGGCCAAUGCA